UUGUGUUAAUAAAAAACAAAUGCAUUAAAUCUCAUAGCCAGUCCAAGCAACUCUCUCUCUCUCCUUGGCAGCACACUGACCAGCCAUGUGAAAGCUCAGACGAGUCGUGGCUAAUGAGUCGCAGCAUGUGACGCCAUCGCCUGGCUCCGCUACUCCUUUCCAAGCAUGUGCAUGGCCCCUGUGUGUGCUGUUAGCUGAUGCUCGGCUGCUGGGGCGAUGCUGGAGCAACUUGGCUCGCCUGCCAACAGAGAGGGCUCUGCGUGCCCACUGCGGAACGCAUGCCAUAGCUUCGCCACCACUGGCUUAGGGGCACACUUAGCAAAUAAACACAGCAUGUAUGACUGCAGCUUCUCUAAAUAGAAGUGUUCAAGUGUGCUAUCAGAAGAGAAAGGUGUUGCUGCUCCCAGGUAAUGCACAAGGGAAAUAAGCACUAGGGAAGGGAGGGAAGAAUGAGUUGAGAGAAAAAACACAUAAAUUGGAGGGAAGAAAGGGAGAAAGCAAAACAUGCACUGAGCUAGGGUGGAGAACAGUGUGCUAGGUGAGUGCUGUCCAAGAAUGUGCAGGUUCUCAAAGGGCAUCUUUGUUCUAGGAGCACCUCUCCUUAUUCCUCCUAUGCUUACAGACUUAAAGAUACUGGCCAGGAGUGUUUGCAAAUUUUUCUGUGCAUCAAUGUCUUCCCAGGUUUUGGAACUGGACAGCUGGUUUGUCAGUAUUUGAAAGUAGUAUUGGACUGGAUGGACCAUUGGUCUGAUCCAGCAUAGCUUUUAAGAAAGGUAACUGUAUAUACAUAGGUUUGUCUCUAAAUUGCAAAUCAUCUCAUCUGUUAUCUGAUUUAAACAAACACCUGGUGUGGAGUAAAAGAAAAAUGAAUGGAAGAAUGAACAAACCAAAACUAUUAAUUUUUCAUCUGUUAUUUACUGUGCUUGUUUCAAACAAGUAACAAUAAUUAUCUAUAAAUUAUCUGGUCAUAGAAUACCUAACAAGAGUGAUUAAAAAACCACUAUUCACAUAAAACAAACAAGUCAUACUAGAAAAGUCUACCACUUCAGCAGCUUCUUCCUUUAUUAAAAGCAAUUUCAAGUAUGAAUGGGAUGGGAAAUUUUUAAAGCCACUACACAAACAAUUCAGAAAAAGUGGUUUUCUAGACUGAGAAUGUUGUGCUAAUUUUCUAACAAUUUAAUUUUUGAUUUUUUAGCUUUCAACUAGAAUUAGUUUUCUACUUUCUUAGUUGAAUGGUAAAUUCCUGCACUGUUGAGCAAAUGCUGCAUCCCAUUACAGUAACACCUUUGUUUUUGAAGCAGGCAAAUAAUAAUAAUAAUAAUAAUAAUAAUAAUAAUAAUAAUAAUAAUAAUAAUAUCUGGUUUUUAGCUACCAUGUCAAUUCUAAAGUGUUUUGGGAUGCUCAGGUAUUUAGCAUAAGCAAUAAAAUUGGGAUAUCAGUUUUCCAAAUAAUGAUUCAUGCUGAAUCCAGUCCAAAGAAUAACUAAAAUGCAUUUUUAAUUUAAUGGUGAAUAUUAGAAUUUUAAUUUCUUUAGGCCCAGAAUUCAAAAGUUAUGAUUGAUAUCCCAUUCUGAAGCAACCUUCAUUUGUAAUACAACAAGGGCUGUCCAUGUUUUUGCACAGAAAUAAGUUUCUGUACAUACAGCAGCUUUAUGUAGUAGAAAUUUAAAUUGCUACUCCAUUUGAAAUUGAUAUACAUCCAACAAUAAAGCUAAUGCAUGUGGGGAGGGGGAAUGAAAAUACCACCUAACAGCAUAAUUCAAAAACUUAGACACUUCUCUGAUGCAUGCAUUUUAACUUCUUCAGGUGGAAUGGUUCCAUGUAAGCAGAAGUGAUACAAUCUUUAUAUAAGGGAUGUACCAUGGAAAAAAGGAAUCUAAGAAUGAGGUUUAUUAUGGGGUAGUUUGCAUCCCAUUGAGAAUCAAUGGGGAAAUGGGGCUGAAGAGGAGAAUGCAACAAUGGGCAUAAGUAAGAGAUGAUGGAAGGUUUCUCCAAGUGUGGGUUUAACUGGGAAGAAAGGAAAGAGCUCUCACAAUUAUUAACAUUUUGAAAUUGCAAAGAACCCCUAUUCAAAUUGUUUGUAUGCCUGAGGGUUAUCAGUCAAAUAUUGUGUUUCUUGUAUAGAAUACAUGACAAUUUUCAAUGGACCAGUUUGAUUACUGAAAUAAUGGAUUGAGGUUCACUCAUUGUGAGAAUUAGGUAUUUGAAUCAAUUCCAUGGAAAUAUAGUGUUCUGCAUUACUAAUAUUUAUUAAUUUUAUUUCUAUUCUAAAGCUAAAGCUGUCAGGGCACAAUACAAAAAUUAAUACAAUAAAAUGCUAUAUAAAAUAUUAAUGGCAAUAAAACAUCAAAAUCAUUAACAUUUAAAACUGAACUUUAACAAUUCAGGCUUAUAUAGUUCAGCCUCCUAAAAUAAAUCUGACAGUACCUCCCACAGUGCUGUUCAAGUCUUGGCAUUAACAGCAGUCCUAACCUGGGGCUGAAAAGAUUGCAGCAAUAGCUCCAGGUGGGCUUCAGUGGGGAAAUCAUUUCAUAAUUUGGGGGCUAUCACAGAAAAGGCCUUCUUCCUUGUUGCCACCAAUUAAGCCUCCCUUGGAGGAGGUAGUAAGAUGAGGAAAGGGCCAGAUGUUGAUUCUACUGCCCAGGAAGACUCAGGUAAGAGAAGCAUUCCAUCAAGCAUUACAUCUCCAAGCCAUGUAGUGCUUUAAAGGUUAAAACCAGCACCUUGAAUAGGCUUGCAUGUACCAGUAGUCAAUGUAAACAGGCCUGAACCAAUGUUAUGUACUUAGACCUUUUUUCUCUCAUUAUCAGCCUGGCUGCUGCAUUUUGCACAAGUUACAACUUCAACAGUUUCAAAGGAUGCCAUGACAACUGGUUCCCCAAAGAGUGUGAAGGACACCACUGAUUGAAUCAUGAAGCUCCUGGCCCAAUCAAGAUAUCGUCUCAUGGUUUAUGUCUCCCUUAACAACCAGCAGCCAUCAUUAUAAAACUCUGAUACAUCUAUCAGUGACAUUGUGCUGCAAAGCAGUAUCACAUUAAGUAACAUGCAUACAAACUAAUCAAAGAAGAAAUGAAAUUUUGCCUAAUAAAUGUUGACAGAAAUCA